GGCUCAAUGGUCUAGAGGUAAGAUACUUGCUUUGGGCGGUUCCAAUUGCAAGGGAUCCCGGGUUCGAAUCCCGGUUGAGCCC
rnacentral:tRNA from 1 species